rnacentral:rRNA from 1 species
AUUGAACGCUGGCGGCAGGCCUAACACAUGCAAGUCGAGCGGAGCGGCGGACGGGUACGUAAUAGCAAGGAAUCUGCCUGGUGGUCGGGGAUAAGGUCCGGAAACGGGCGCUAAUACCGCAUACUAUCAGACGAGCCUAGAUCGGAUUGGCUAGUUGGUGGGGUAAAGGCCUACCAAGGCGACGAUCCGUAACUGGUCUGAGAGGAUGAUCAGCCACAUGGGAACUGAGACACGGCCCAGACUCUUACGGGAGGCAGCAGUGGGGAAUAUUGGACAAUGGGCGAAAGCCGGAUGCAGCCAUGCCGCGGGGGUGAAGAAGGUCUUCGGAUUGUAAAGCACUUUAAGUUGGGAGGCGUUACCAACAGAAUAAGCACCGGCUAACUUCGUGCCAGCAGCCGCGGUAAUAC